GAUGAACGCUGGCGGCGUGCCUAAUACAUGCAAGUCGAGCGAACAGACGAGGAUCUUGCUCCUCUGACGUUAGCGGCGGACGGGUGAGUAACACGUGUAUAACCUACCUAUAUUACUGGUAUAACUUCGGGAAACCGGAGCUAAUACCGGAUAAUAUAUUGAACCGCAUGGUUCAAUAGUGAAAUACGGUUUUGCUGUCUCUUAUAGAUGGAUCCGCGCCGCAUUAGCUAGUUGGUAAGGUAACGGCUUACCAAGGCAACGAUGCGUAGCCGACCUGAGAGGGUGAUCGGCCACACUGGAACUGAGACACGGUCCAGACUCCUACGGGAGGCCGCAGUAGGGAAUCUUCCGCAAUGGGCGGAAGCCUGACAGAGCAACGCCGCGUGAGUGAUAAAGGUCUUCGGAUCGUAAAACUCUGUUAUUGGUGAAGAACAAAUGUGUAAGUAACUAUGCACGUAUUGACGGUACCUAAUCAGAAAGCCACGGCUAACUACGUG
rnacentral:rRNA from 1 species